UACAGAGGUCCCAAGCGUUGUUCGGAUUCACUGGGCGUAAAGGGUGCGUAGGCGGUCGGGUAAGUCUGAUGUGAAAUCUCCGAGCCCAACUCGGAAACGGCAUCGGAUACUAUUCGGCUUGAGGGUUGCAGGGGAGACUGGAAUUCUCGGUGUAGCAGUGAAAUGCGUAGAUAUCGAGAGGAACACCAGUGGCGAAGGCGAGUCUCUGGACAACUCCUGACGCUGAGGCACGAAAGCCAGGGGAGCAAACGGG
rnacentral:rRNA from 1 species